UCUGAUGUAUAUAGCUUUGGG
rnacentral:miRNA from 1 species